rnacentral:rRNA from 1 species
CUAACGCUCAGGUCCAGAAGCGUGGGGAGCGAACCGGAUCAGAUUACCUGGUUGUGCUCGCCCUAAACGAAGUCGAUUUGGAGGUUGUGAUGUUAAGGCGUGGCUUCGGUAGCGUACGCGUUAAGUUAACCGCCUGGGGAGUGCAGUCCCAAGGCUAAAAUUCAAAUGAAUUGACGGGGCGCCGCACAAGCGGAGGAGCAUGUGGUGUAAUUUGAUGCAACGCGAAGAGCAUAACCUACUCUUGUCAUCCAAUGAACUUAACAGAGAAGAGAUGGUGCCUUCGGGAACUGUGAGACAGGUCAGGCAUGGCAGUCGUCAGCUCGUGUCGUGAAAUGUUGGGUUAAGUUCCGCAACGAGCGCAGCCCUUAUCCUUUGUUUCCAGCGCGUAAUGUAGGGAACUCAAAGGAGACUGCCGGUGAUAAACCGGAGGAAGGUGGGGAUGACGUCAAGUCAUCAUGGCCCUUACGAGUAGGGCUACACACGUGAUACAAUGGCAUAUACAAAGGGAAGCGACCUCGCGAGGGCAAGCGGAACUCAUAAAGUCAGUCGUAGUCCGGAUUGGAGUGUACUACUCGACUCCAUAAGUGGGAAUCGCUAGUAUUGGUAGAUCAGUCAGUACGGUGAAUACGUUACCGGGCGGGUACACACCCCCGUCACUCCAUGGCAGUGGAUUGCAUAAGAAGUGAGGUAACGUAGCCUACAGGAAGGCGGCUUACCACU